rnacentral:rRNA from 1 species
UACGGAGGGAGCUAGCGUUAUUCGGAAUUACUGGGCGUAAAGCGCACGUAGGCGGCUUUGUAAGUAAGAGGUGAAAGCCCAGAGCUCAACUCUGGAAUUGCCUUUUAGACUGCAUCGCUUGAAUCAUGGAGAGGUCAGUGGAAUUCCGAGUGUAGAGGUGAAAUUCGUAGAUAUUCGGAAGAACACCCGUGGCGAAGGCGGCCCACUGGGCCGGUACUGACGCUGAGGCGCGAAGGCGUGGGGAGCGAACGGG